GUAGUAAUCGAAACAUUUCGAGGAAAACGAAGGAACGUCACCGUGAGCAACAAGGAAAACGAAUUCAAUAAACACCAAGCC
ensembl:ncRNA D1065.6 ncRNA